UCCUAAGAUGAUAUUCUUUACGAGCUUUUUGGACGUUAGACUUCUUAAGUAGAUUAGGUUAUCUUGUGAAAGAGAAACUCACCCCAACAAGUCUACAU
rnacentral:snoRNA from 1 species